rnacentral:lncRNA from 1 species
UGUUCACCACGCUUGCCAUGGCUCCAGCUACGACUCCUAGUGUCGCGGCCCAGGGACCGUGAGAAGAUCCCACGAACGCAGUUCCACAAGCCGCUAAGCCUGUCAAUAAGGGACCAGAAAUGGCGAGCAUCCUGUUAACUUUCAAGGCUAUUUUGCCCAGCCUCAAAUAGUCUUCAGUGUCCUUUCUCUUCAAAACCCCAACUACUUCUCUCAUUUCUUCCUCCAACUCCACACUCCAACCAUUUCCAUCUGUUCUCCCACUCUGCCUGUCCUGCCUUUGCCUGUGCUCCGGCCACCAUACAGCAGGCUCCACAGUUUUGGGGAAUUUAUCGAGCAUCGCUCCUAGUAAAGGAAGCGGGAAGGCCUUGUCCAGUGACAAAACUUUCUCCAUAACUUCCUCAACAUCGGUACUAGUAGGAGUGCCACAAGAGAGUGUUCUUUGAAUCUGGCCAUGAAGCUGCUUAAACAACCUCGCGGCAUUGCGCUGUUCUUCGACGAGUUGAGAUGGCUGGAUCUUAUUCAUCACCACCAGCAUCCCAGUGGCUGCCAAAUACAUCAGAGUGGAAGAGAGCUUGAGAGCUACAAGGGGUCCUCCUACACUUGUAGCAGCAAUUCCAGCCAUGGUUGCAGCAGUGAGUGUGAUUGCAUUAAUGGAUGUCAAAAGAAGAUGGUUCCAAUUAUCACGCUGCUCACCGAUAUUCUUGUGCAUCUCCACUCUAUCUGCAACAGCCUCCAUGAUUGCAUGGAGUUUAGCAAUCACCAAAGGAUCAGAAACAUUGCUCACAGAAGGGAAAGUACCAUUAGUACUCAGCUCGUAUUUCUUCUCCAAAUUGCUGGUGGUUGCAGCUGUGAGACCAACCCCCAUGUCCAGUACUUCCUGUAGUACCAAAUUUCUAGCGGGGAGGUUCAAAGAUAGGCGGCCGGGCUGGAGUUUAGGCAUAUUGAUAGUAGCUCUUACCAUUCCUCUCCGGCAACGAGACGAGGAAUAAGCCACUGACGUAAUAACAGCCGAUGAAAAUUGAAGACUCACCAUGUCCACUCCUUGUACGAUCUGUAUGAGUUUCUUCUUGUUGCUAAGAUUGGUUGAUUCUAAUGGGUAUGUAGUGAAUGGCUUAGGCUUGUAGUGAAAUGUGGUGGCAAUGCAACCUGGAUUAUAUAUAGGGAAUGGGAGUGGACCAAGUACGCUAUUCAACGUUUGAAUGGUCUCAUGGGUCUUGGCUUAGACCUUUUCUUGUCUUUGGUUCAUUGGUGUUUCACCUCUCAAUUACGCUGCUCGUCAGCUUGGGCAUUGAGGCAGUACUUCAUUGACUUUCAACCUGCAAAAACCAGUACAACCUUGAAAUAAUAAAAUCAACCUUUUGCUUCUCCAAUAUUUCUGGGUCUGAAUUCUGUAGCCAUAUAUCGUUGAUCAGCAGUGACGUAACUAAAACAUGGGAUUUGUUCAAAGAUUACAAGUAUUUUGAGCAUUAUCACCAUUUUAUGAAAUUUCCAGACGUCUUUCUUUCCAAUUAACAUACCGUAUUCCAAUGAGAGAGUAGGCUUUCUUUUUGUCAAUUUUUUUUAAAAAAAAUUUAUGACUAAAUCACAAAUUCAAAAUAAUUUAUUAGUAAGGUCAAUUAUUAUUCAAAAAUAAUAAUGAGAAAUAAAGAGAUAAGUUUAGUCUUGAUAUUUUUUUUUCUUAAAAGCUUUAUAGUUUUUUUUUAUUAUCUAUACGUAUAUAUUUGAUUUUCUUCCUAUUUCUAUGACAAAUGAAAUAGAUAUUUUGAGUUUUCUAUAUUUUAUUUUAUUUUUUCCUUUUUUAUGAUCCUAACACAAGGUAAUUAAUUAUCAGAAAAAAAUCCCUCAAUUAUUAUAGGUAUUAUAUUAUAAUAAAAUGAUUGGUCUCAUUAAUGUUUAUAAUGUAAUUAAGAUAAUUGAUAAUAUAUAGAAGAAAAUGGAGAAGUUGUUGUUCUCAAUGAUAGUUUAUUUAAUAAAAGAAAACAUUUUAAAUAUUUUUCUAACUUAGAAAACAAGUUUACAAAACUUGUACAAAUUCAAAAUUUAAAAAAAAUAAUUCUGAAAAUAAAACAUUUUUUCUUUAAAAAAAAAAAAUUGACAAGUUUUCAAUUUUUUUAAAAGAAUAUUUUGAGUAAGAAAAAUGCUUUGGGACUUUUUCAUGGUACAUAAAAUAUAUAAAUACUUCUUAAGAAUAAACCACCAAAACUAUUUUUUAUAUUAAAUUUCUAAUCAAAAUUUUGUUAAUUUUGUUAAUUUUUCUUUUAAAAACGAUUAAGAAUUACUCUUAAUAUCUGUUCUAAAACUGUCGGCCCUUUGUAUUUGACUGGUCGCUGGACCAUGGAGCGGCGGUUAGAAUUUGACAGUUUGGCGGCAUCCUUUAGCAAAGAUGAGGUCAUGGGAAUAGGAGGACAGGCGCCAGUGGGCGCUGGCCCUAGUUUAUUUGGUCAAAAAGUGCUACUGUUAUAAUCCAACAUUCAGCCCUCCAUGGAAAUUGUCUUGAGACCUAAAUGUUAUGGCUUAAAGCAAGCACUAAAUGCAUCGUAUGAUCAAAUUAAUGGAUACGUCAAGGAACAAAGUGAAAAUCUAUGUUGUAUGUUAAGACAGGAGGUAUGAAUGAAAUACUUAGUAUUUGCCUUUAAGUUUAUGAUUUGAUUUAUACUAAUAAAUGUAUUAUUUUAAUGAAAGGAUUUUAGAAAGAUGAUGAUGAUUAAUUUGAGAUGAUUGAUUUAACUUGACAAGUUAUUUUCUUACUUGAAGAGUUGUUUUCUUAUGUUGGAAGUCAUCUAAUGGGAUGCAAAAAAAAAUUUAUUUUUCAAGAGAAGCAUGAAAAUAAUCUUCAUAAGAAAUUUGAACUGAAUAAUUAAAAUCCAAUGAAAACUCAUUUGAAUGUCAAUAAAAAAAUUGGUUUAAAUGAUAGGGAAGAAACGAUUGAUAUGCAACAAAUCUCACCAACAAUAGGUUAGAUAUUAUGUAAACAACAAAUCUCUUAUGAAGGCUUAUGCAAAGUUCAACUUAGCCUUUCUUUGGUGCGAUCAUCUCGCUUGUAGAUUUAGAAAUAUUUCCCUCAAAUAUGGGAAGAAAAAUGUGAAAAUAUUUCAAUUAAAAAGUAAAGAGUACGUGGGGGAGGAGGAGGGAAAACAGGGAAACUAGUAUUAUACCAGGCACAUGCAAUGAUGCUGUGGAAGAUGACACGGAACUGGCUCUCUAUUCCUAUGUAUUGUUUGCAAGAUUUCAUAUAAUAUUGAAGUUAUACAAGGAUCAAGGUGAGGGUUGCCUAACUAUAUUUCCUUGAAAACUUGAAGAUAUGAUCAUGGACAUUACCCGGCCCAUAGUAGACCAUGAAUACAAAGUUGUUCCAAGGUGGAGAUGUCAAUUAUUCGAUCAUGACCACCUUAAAUAAAUAAUUUAAUUCGAAAAUUAAUUAGAAUAAAACAACACGUUUGACAUAAAUCAGUACCCAUAGUAGACCCUAGGAUUUCCGGAAAUUUAAGGUUCACAUUUAACCCUAGAAGUCAACAUGAGUGUAAAAGUACUCCAUGAAAUCUAUAUAAAAACUAGCUAGAACAUUAUUUCUAAAUCUUGGAGUCUAUUAAUUAAUUUUUCCUUCUUGUUGGAUUCUAAUUCUCAGCAAUCAAAGUUCGUUAAAAUUAAAUGGAGUGACAACUAUCUAGUGUAAAGAAAGAAUCAUUUGGUGGCAAACCCACCAUUUACUUUGGCUUAUGAUAGAAGUCAGAACCUCCUCAGACUCAAAAGUACCUGCCUUAUUUCAAUAGAGUCCAAACGAAGGAAUGAUAAUUUUGACCUUUUCCAUGUAUAGUUUACAUUGUUUUUCCUCCUCCAAUGGCCUCUAUAUAUAGUAUAUAUGGACUCGACUAACCCACCAAUCCCAUAAGAAAAUGAAACUUUUCUGUCUCAGAAGCUGCAUUUUCUUAGUUGCCAUUUGGAUUUUCAUGCUUUCUUCACUAGAAAAAAAAAAAACUAAAGAAACUUUAGAUGAUAAGGAAAAAGUAUCAAGUAUUACAUUGUUUAUUAUUCAUGGACUUUCACUCCAAAUUGACCCAGAAAUACAUCGGUUUUAGCUGAAAGCAUAUAAAACUUAUUAAUUUUCAGUUUUGAUGAGCAGAUGUGUUCAAAUUGCUGUAUAGAAAACCGACUAAUUCAAUUUCCAUGGAAUAUUCAGACCUUUUAGCAGUCUGAUUUCAAUUGAAUGAAUGAAUAAAUGAAUUACUAGAUUGUACAGCUCUAUUGUGUUUAUAGACAAGGUUAGCUUACAAUGAUAUACAAGAUUUAGUGUAUUAUCAACAAAACUGAGGAUGAACCACCACGAUAUUAGAAGAGCUUGCUUGCGAACUCUUCAAUGGCCUCUCCUUUUUGGGAAGAAGAAUAAGAGGAUGCUGCCAGAUCCUUGAGCCCGGACAAGCUUCUUCCUAGCUGUAGAGCCACCUUCAUUUCAAACAAUUCCCCAUUCUCUCUUCUCCCCACAUCUCUUUCAUUCAGAUUUGACUCUAUGCUCUCUUCCAUCAUCCGGAAGAAGCCUGCGUUGCCUCUAUACAUCUCAAACACCAUGCCCACUUGCCCGCCAUGCUCCAUUGUGUUCACCACGCUUGCCAUGGCUCCAGCUACGACUCCUAGUGUCGCGGCCCAGGGACCGUGAGAAGAUCCCACGAACGCAGUUCCACAAGCCGCUAAGCCUGUCAAUAAGGGGCCAGAAAUGGCGAGUAUCUUGUUAACUUUCAAGGCUAUUUUGCCCAGCCUCAAAUAGUCUUCAGUGUCCUUCCUCUUCAAAACCCCAACAACUUCUCUCAUUUCUUCCUCCAACUCCACACUCCAACCAUUUCCAUCUGUUCU